CUGAAACAACUUCUUUCUUAGUAUUUCAUUAGGGCGAACUUCGUUUAGUAGCUUUUCCAUCGCAUCGUUAAUUGUUUUGCACGCGGGAGGGAAACUAUCUACGCGAUAUUUUUCUUUUGUUUCUUGAUCAAACAUGAUGUGAAAGAGGUCGUCGCCCUCGUGCCACACCCUAAAUUCUGCGCGCAUACGAUAGUGAGUAGGCUGUGAUGGGUAAACCGAAGUUUUAGGCGCAUUAAAUGGAGAAAGUAACGCCGAAAGACGAUCUACUUUUUCGUCUAACUGCGCUUGAUAACGUUGUUGUUCAUCGGCCGACAUAAAAUUCUCCAUUGAUAGUUAAGGUCGCGAAUUGUAGUCCCUUAUAAAAUAACUGCAACAAGCGCUAGUUACUUCUAUAAAAAUCGUAUAAAAAAGCUGUAUUAAAAUUAAACAAUACUGAAUCGUUGCCGAUAAUAAGAAAGAGGAUAGUGAGGAUCAAAUUAUGAACGUGGGUCAAAUUAAAGCUUUCAUGGGCGAUCAAAAGGUCGAGCAAAAAGCUGAACAGAAAGCGACGGUUCACCCGAAUGAAGUAUUGAAAAAGCAGUUGCAGCAAGAUGGGUUGCAACAAGCAGCAGAGUUUUCUAAGCAGCAAGCGGCGUCUGUAUCUGUUUCAAGCAGUCAAACGAGUAUAGGUUUACGGGUAGUGAGCAGUAACCUGAACCAAGCGUUAGAGAUUGACGGACAAAAGCCGCAAGAAACGAAAGGAAAAGCGCUGGACGAAGAAUCUUCUAAGUUAUUCGACUUCGAAAAGGUGGCUAGAAAUGUACUUAAGUUUGUUGGCGGUGUAAUUCGCGGGGCCGCCGAUGGUGGAGCAAGUGAAGAAAAGCUAAAUGGUUUAUUUAGUCAGGCGAGAGAAGGCGUAAGUCGUGGUUUUGCCAUGGCAGAAAAAGAUUUAGCGGGUUUCAUGAAUGAUGAGAUAGAACAGGGCAUGACAAAAAGCCGCGAUCUCAUUGAUACGGGAAUCAACGAUCUUGAAACCGAUAUCUUUGGUCGUCAGCAGCCUAACGCUGUCUCCAUAUCCACACUAAAUGCAGUAGCGGCAUCAGAAGAAAAGAGCGGAAGCUUGAUGAUACGGACAAAAGACGGCGAUGAAGUCAGCUUUAGUUUUGAAAGCUUACAGUCUUUUAAAGCGUCUCAACAGUUAAGCUAUCAAGCGCAGAUCUCACAAGAGCAACAAGAUAGUUCAGGAGAGUUAGACCAACAGAGUGACACUGAAAGUACAGCGGCUUAUUCUCAACAGACUUCUUAUCAGUACUAUGAACGAAGCGGAAUCAGUUUUUCCCUCAAAGGAGAACUUGAUGAAGGUGAACUAGAGUCUAUUGCGAAUUUAGUGGGUCAAGUUCAAGACUUAGCUGAUACCUUUUAUAAUGGUGAUAUCGAUAAAGCAUAUGAAGAAGCAUUGAGUUUAGGCUUUGACGAUAAAGAACUGGUGGGUUACGCACUGCAGCUUAAUAGAACCACACAAACUGAAGUGCUAAAGACAUACGAGAACAUCCAGCAUUAUAAUGAGGGUAAUAGCGAUAAUGCUAAAUACGGUAACGUAGUAAGUCCAGUUGCCCAGUAUCUAGAAAAGAUGAUGGAUACGUUUGCUAAUGCAGAGAAUAAGCUAGCAAGUAGCGAAGACUACAAUGCGUUAAUUGCUGGAUUAAUAAAUGAAAUGAAAGAUGUGCAGGUGCCUGACUUGAUAUCCGCUAUUAAUAGAUUUCGAUCUUUUAAUCAGACUUUACUAGACGGACUACCGCAAUCUUUAGAAGCCAGCGAGUCUUAAACCUUCCUCAUAUGAAAAAGCCCGGAGCAAAUGCUAACCGGGCUUUUUUACAUGCGAAUGAAGACUAUUCGUGAUGGACUUUAUCUUUCGCUGGGCGAACCUUCAAUGUACGCUCUUGAAAAAUAGAAUCGUUCGUCUUAUCUAUAACGCUACUUAAGUCAUCGGUAACAACUUCAAUAAAACCGUAACCUUUUCGCUUUCCCGUUUUUCGAUCCUUCAUUAGCCGAACUGACUGUACUUCAAUAAAACUGCUGAAGUAUUCCUUCACAGCGUUUUCAUUUGCUCGAUAAGGCAAAUUACCUACAUACAAGGUUUCUAUCGAUCCUUCAUUAGAGUGUGCUCUGGCAUCUGAGGAAGAUGGACUUUGAAUAAGAGACGCUAGCCAUGGAGUGACGAUACCGCUUAUCAACAGAGCUGCUGAUACGGUUAGUGGAACAUGAACGUUUAAACUAGCAGAAGAAAACAACAAGUAACCUGCAAUUGCAAAAAUAGCGCUUAUAACGGCGCAUUGAAUAAAGCCUACUUUCAUAUACCUACCUUUCUAUUGUUUAUUAUGGGGUUGGAGGCUGUAUACAGUUUACUCAUUUGUAACAAUUAGAACAAUAAAAUGUGAAAAAACUAGCCGAAAGAUGCAUUGAGCUUGUAGAAAUGAUGCAGAAAUGAGCGGUUAACCUCAAAAGUGUGCUAAAAAGCAAAAAAAUCCAAUUUAACUGUUGAUCUUUCUCAUCAGGUAUCUAUAAUGCGCUCCACGUUCUGAGGGGGCUUCGAGAAAAACAAAGUCAACUUAGCAACAAGUGCGAAACCAAGUUUUCAAGCAAAUAAAAAGUUUAAAAACAAGGUUGACAUCGAAAACAAACGAUGUAAAAUGCGCACCUCACUCGAACAGGGUGAGCCACUAAGAAGCAACGGCUUCUAGUGAAUUGCGACGAAGUCGCAAUGUUCUUUAACAAUUUAGACAAGACAAUCUGUGUGGGCACUCGUUAAGAGUGUCACAACGACGAUUCAUAUUUCGAUAUAUUUAAUUGAAGUGACGUUGAUAGGCAGGGUGUGGAAGCGUUGUAAGGCGUUAAGCUAACCUGUACUAAUUGCCCGAGAGGCUUAACCAUACAACGCCUA
rnacentral:rRNA from 1 species